AGAUUUUUAAAAUUAUGGAAUAUAGCAUUCAAAACCAUCUGUUCAUUAGUGUAUAAUUAGCUGCAAUAAUGAAUCAAAGUGGGUUUUUUUUCAGGUUAGACUGAGCCCACCAUAUCUACAUGAGAGUGGGCCCCACUCACAUGAAAGCCGCCAUGUUGGUACAGGAACCCAAAAAGGACAUACUCACUCCAUCUUUUGCAUUUUGCAGCACCACUGGAAGACUAAUGAAAAAUAAGAGCAAUCCAUGGUUGUUUGCCUAUACACUGUCUACUGGUUGCUAGUGCAGGCUCACAAGUUUAGGAACCCUCAUUUUUGUGAAACUGAUUGGAUCAUACAUGGUGCUCACCACAAGAGAAGGCAAGGAGGCAUGAAUCGGCAUUGCCAAUGAAUCAAAAACGUGAAGAGAAACAAUAUCGCAACCAGCAAGAGUAUAACACAAUCUGCAACCUCACCACUAGAUGACACUAAAUUAUACACACUAUAGCUUUAAGUUAACCAGAACAUUGACAUUUUGAAAUAAUAAUUUUAUAAUAAUUUCAAACAUGCUGCUUCAGGCUUUCUUUUACAUACAGUCAUUAAUAUCUCCUGGACACAGUAGCUUUUAUCAGUUAUUUGUCUAAUUUUAUGAUCCCACUUUGU